rnacentral:misc_RNA from 1 species
UCCGAGUUGACCCCGGCAGUCUCCUAUGAGUCCCCACCAUUACGUGCUGGCAACAUAGAACGAGGGUUGCGCUCGUUGCGGGACUUAACCCAACAUCUCACGACACGAGCUGACGACAGCCAUGCACCACCUGUGACGGUCCAGCCUAACUGACACUGUGUUUCCACAGCUACGACCGCCAUGUCAAGCCCAGGUAAGGUUCUUCGCGUUGCGUCGAAUUAAACCACAUGCUC